rnacentral:rRNA from 1 species
GCGUCAUUUCUCUCUCCACACCUAGUGGGUAUUGGCACUGUACACAGUGCUCAAAACAAUCAUGCGUAUGUGUUAACCACAAUGUGCGCUUAAAACUUAACUAUUGACCUCGUAUAAGGUAAGAGUACCCACUGAACUUAAGCAUAUCAAUAAGUGGAGGAAAAGAAACCAACAGGGAUUGCCUUAGUAGCGGCGAGUGAAGCGGCAAAAGCUCAAAUUUGAAAUCUGCCUUACGGCCGAGUUGUAAUUUGUAGAUGGUAACUCUGCGACAAGUCUUUGCUCAAGUGUUCUGGAAAGGACCAUCAUGGAGGGUGAUAAUCCCGUGAGGCAUUGAUGCAGUUGCGUGUAGAGUGCUAUCGAAGAGUCGAGUUGUUUGGGAAUGCAGCUCAAAGUGGGUGGUAGACACCAUCUAAAGCUAAAUAUUGGCGAGAGACCGAUAGCGAACAAGUACUGUGAAGGAAAGAUGAAAAGCACUUUGAAAAGAGAGUGAAAAAGUACGUGAAAUUAUUGAUACAGAAGGAUAUACAAUUGGACACGGAGUCUUGGGUUCGCUGCUUCUUCGGGAGUAGUUUGUCCCUUGAUUCUUCACCAGCAUCAGUUUUGGCAGGAGGAUAAACAACAUGGAAUGUAGCUGCUUGCAGUGUUAUAGACUUGUUGCAUACUCUUUGCCGGGACUGAGGUCAGCCUUUGUAGGAUGCUGGGGUAACGAUUGUAUAUCACCCGUCUUGAAACAC